rnacentral:ncRNA from 1 species
CCCACAUCCGCAGCAGGUCUCCAAGGUGAACAGCCUCUAGUCGAUGGACCAAUGUAGGUAAGGGAAGUCGGCAAAACGGAUCCGUAACCUUGGGAUAAGGAUUGGCUCUGAGGACUGAGCCGGUCGGGCUGGGGACCUGAAGCAGGAACGGCACUGCACCGGGACUGGGCGGGGCUCGCCGUUCACGCGGCGCGGCCAAGCCCGGACCAGCGUCGGGACCUUCCUGUGGAAAGCCUCAGCUGCGCGGCGUCUGAGGGCUUCGUGCCCAAAGUGCUAUGCUUCGGCCGGCAAAAAAACAGUCAACUCAGAACUGGCACGGACCGGGGGAAUCCGACUGUCUAAUUAAAACAAAGCAUUGCGAUGGCCGCUGGUCGGUGUUGACGCAAUGUGAUUUCUGCCCAGUGCUCUGAAUGUCAACGUGAAGAGAUUCAUCAAAGCGCGGGUAAACGGCGGGAGUAACUAUGACUCUCUCGACUGAUCAACGAACUGGAUUUCGACUACAGGCAGCGAGCUUUCACCCCUGUAGACGGAUGCGCAGAAAACGUCUUCCUGUUGGCCUCCGUUCUGGAGGACGCCAAGCAAAAGCUCCGGCCGCUGCACAU